rnacentral:rRNA from 1 species
UACGAAGGGGCUAGCGUUGCUCGGAAUUACUGGGCGUAAAGCGCACGUAGGCGGAUUGUUAAGUCGGGGGUGAAAUCCUGGAGCUCAACUCCAGAACUGCCUUCGAUACUGGCGAUCUCGAGUUCGGGAGAGGUGAGUGGAACUGCGAGUGUAAGAGGUGAAAUUCGUAGAUAUUCGCAAGAACACCAGUGGCGAAGGCGGCUCACUGGCCCGAUACUGACGCUGAGGUGCGAAAGCGUGGGGAGCAAACAGG